AUUGAACGCUGGCGGCAGGCCUAACACAUGCAAGUCGAACGAGUGGCGGACGGGUGAGUAAUGUCUGGGAAACUGCCCGAUGGAGGGGGAUAACUACUGGAAACGGUAGCUAAUACCGCAUACAAUCGGAUGUGCCCAGAUGGGAUUAGCUUGUAGGUGGGGUAACGGCUCACCGAGGCGACGAUCCCUAGCUGGGCUUAGAGGAUGACCAGCCACCCUGGAACGGAGACACGGUCACGACUCCGAGGGGCGGCAGCAGUGGGGAAUAUUGCACAAUGGGGGAAAGCCUGAGGCAGCCAUGCCGCGUGUAUGAACAAGGCCUUCGGGUUGUAAAGUACUUUCAGCGGGGAGGCGUUACCCGCAGAAGAAGCCCCGGCUAACUCCGUGCCAGCAGCCGCGGUAAUAC
rnacentral:rRNA from 1 species